CAACUCAUACAGCGAUGUAUGGCUGAACGUCCAGAAGUCAGCAGAGGCCAUAGUACCGCUAAGGGGGAUGUCUCUGAAAUACGGGAGUACGAGCGGAGCGGGAAGGGC
rfam:Termite gut metagenome tgut2b_Contig37296, whole genome shotgun sequence.